rnacentral:rRNA from 1 species
AUUGAACGCUGGCGGCAGGCCUAACACAUGCAAGUCGAGCGGAUGAGGAGAGCUUGCUCUUCGAUUCAGCGGCGGACGGGUGAGUAAUGCCUAGGAAUCUGCCUGGUAGUGGGGGACAACGUUUCGAAAGGAACGUUAAUACCGCAUACGUCCUACGGGAGAAAGCAGGGGACCUUCGGGCCUUGCGCUAUCAGAUGAGCCUAGGUCGGAUUAGCGAGUUGGUGGGGUAAUGGCUCACCAAGGCGACGAUCCGUAACUGGUCUGAGAGGAUGAUCCGACACACUGGAACUGAGACACGGUCCAGACUCCUACGGGAGGCAGCAGUGGGGAAUAUUGGACAAUGGGCGAAAGCCUGAUCCAGCCAUGCCGCGUGUGUGAAGAAGGUCUUCGGAUUGUAAAGCACUUUAAGUUGGGAGGAAGGGCAGUAAGUUAAUACCUUGCUGUUUUGACGUUACCGACAGAAUAAGCACCGGCUAACUCUGUGCCAGCCGCCGCCGUAAGAC